CACAGAGACUUUCCUAUUCAUCUUUUGCUCCUUACGCUCUCUGAGAAGUAAGUCUUGCAGCUGUUGGCUCAAUCUCAAAAUGGUAUCAGAGCUCAAUGAUACUUUCGUUUCAGCUCUUGAAUCUUUAAUUAUUGAGCCUCCUGUUUCGAUUCCUGCAAAAAUGGAGGAUGUCCUCAGUCCAUUUUUUCUGCAUCAUGGAGAUAGUCCUGGUGCUUUGAUUGUCUCUCAGUAGCUGAACGAAGACAACUACGCAUCAUGGAGUUGAUCUGUUGAAAUGGCUCUAAGUGCUAAAAAUAAGCUAUGUUUCAUUGACGGAUCUCUGAGCAAGCCUGAUGAAAGUGAUUCGGUCUAUCCAGCUUGGAAGAGGUGCAAUCAUACGAUUAUUUCAUGGCUUCUAAACUCUAUCAGUAAAGAAAUUGCAGCUAGUGUCCUUUAUAUUGAUACUGCUACUGGUAUCUGGUCUGAUCUUAAGGAGAGGUUUUCACAAACUCUGAUCUUAAGGAGAGGUAUUCACAAACUAAUGGACCUCGUAUCUUUCAAUUGAGGAAGGCAAUCACCUCUUUAACAUAAGACCAGUGUUCAGUAAAUGCCUAUUUUACCAAACUGAAGACGCUUUGGGAUGAACUUGGAUGCUAUAGACCUAUUCCAGCCUCUUUAAUGAAGUUUCAGCAAGAGGAAUAUGUCAUGCAAUUUCUGAUGGGGCUGAAUGAGAGUUACUCUCAGAUUCGAGGUCAUAUACUAUUGAUUGAUCCAUUACCAGCAAUUAACAAAGUUUUAUGUCUAGUUGUACAAGAAGAAAAACAAAGAGAAAUCACUGCUGGAGUCACAUAUAAUCUAGACUCUAUAGCGAUGGUUGCUAAAAAUUUCAAUAGGAAUCAAUAUACUAACAAGGGAAGGAACAACUACACUGGACUGAACAAUAAGAAGGAGCGUCCUCAGUGCAGCCACUGUGGUCUUCUUGGUCACAAAAUUGACAAAUGUUACAAAGUGCACGGAUAUCCACCAGGAUAUAAGUUCAAGAACAAGAAUUCUGUAGUUCAUGGAGCUGCAAAUCAAGUGGAAUCUGCUCCUAAUGUCACUACUGAUCUUUCACAAUUCCCCUUCACUAAAGAUAAGUAUGAACAGCUGCUAGCUCUAAUUCAACCUACUGAUGAAAUAUCUUUGUCAUUCACAAGUACUUGUACCAUUAAUCUUUAGAAUGCAAGCACCUCUGGUUCCCAAGAGCAUGCAAAUCUGGCAGGUAUAUCAUGUUGUUUGCCCCACUAUGCACCAGUAUUUAGUCAAUGCUUUUCAUGCAAGUCGGCGUCUAAGUCAUGUGAAAGUCCGGAAACAUUGGAUAUGAGUUAUGAAUGGAUUUUAGACACUGGUGCUACAGAUCAUAUGGUGUGCUCGGUCUAUUUACUCACCGAAAUCACAGCUUCAGUAUCAUGGUUUGUUAAACUUCCAAAUGUUACUUUAACUGAGGUUACACAUGUUGGAUCAGUUAAAUUUUCAGACUCCAUCAUUCUGAAAAAUGUUUUAGUCGUACCGUCUUUUGCAUUUAAUCUAAUUCAGUCAGUUGCUUGCUUAAAACAGUCAAAUGUGCUCUCAUCUUGUUGUCUAGUGUGUGCUUUAUACAGGACCUACGCUCAUGGACGACAAUUGGACUGGCUAAAGAGAGAAAUGGCCUAUUCUAUAUGCUGAACAUCACUCUCACACAACCCAAACACUUUGCUAAUUCUAUAACAUCUACAGUUUCUGAAUCAUGGUAUCUUAGGUUAGCUCAUCCAUCUAUACAACGCCUACAAAUGCUGCAAUCUACCAUUUCAGAUUUGAAUGUAAAAACUAUACAUUAGUGUGAUAUUUGCCAUAUGGCUAAAUUGUACAGAUUACCCUAUAUUUCUAGUGAAAUAAAGAGUUCUGCUCCAUUUGAUCUAAUACAUGCUGAUCUAUGGGGUCCUUUCUCUACUACUGCUAUUGAUGGUUCAAAAUACUUUCUAACUCUUGUCGAUGACUUUACUCAAUGUACAUGGACUUGGUUACUAAAUUCUAAAAAUCAAACACAAUCUGUCAUUCCAUCUUUCUUCACUUUAAUUGAGACACAAUUUAAUUUCAAGAUAAAGUGCAUUCGUUCAGAUAAUGGUUAAGAAUUUCACCUUCAAGAUUUUUUUACAUCUAAGGGUGUUGUACAUCAAAAGACUUCUGUUCAGUCACCUCAACAAAAUGGAGUAGUCGAAAGAAAGCACCAACAUCUAUUAAAUGUUGCUAGAGCCAUUCGUUUUCAAGCUAAUUUACCCCUUAGUUUCUGGGUGAAUUUAUACAAACUGCCACCUACAUAAUCAACAGACUUCCCACUCCCUUACUUCAUGGAAAAUCCCCAUUUGAAGUUCCUUUUUUCCAAAAAUCGAACUACACUCAUUUUAGGAUUUUUGGUUGUUUAUGUUUUGCUUACACACUCACUAAGAAUCGAUCAAAAUUUGAUUCUAGAGCAACUAAAUGUAUCUAUCUUGGCUAUCCAUAUUCCAUCAAAGGCUAUAAACGCCUAGAUCUUCAAACUUAGGAUGUCUUUAUUUCAAGAAAUGUCAUAUUCUAUGAAAAUAUCUUUCCAUACAAACAACUUCAUUUGAAUCAUAAUGAUCCAUUUGUUUUACCUAAUCCAAUUCCGGGAUCUUCCUUUCCCAUAUUUCCUUCCCAUGUGUCUCCUAUAGCUGAGAAUGUUUCACCAAGUACUUCACCAGAUCACCAAUCACCAGAUCUCCAAAAUACCACUGUUUUUCCACCAGAAAACCAUACAACUUCACAGAACAUAAAUCCUCCUCUGAGAAGAUCUACAAGAAUUAAACAAACUUCUUCUUAUCUUCAGCAAUAUCAUUGUUAUUUGGCUCAAAACUCUCUUACCAGAUCUGAUCAGUCCACAACACGGUCCUUUCAAGCUUAAGCUCCAGCUGUAAUAUUCAGAAUUAUCUUGCUUAUGAUAAGCUCUCAUCUUCCCAUCGAGCAUAUGCUUUUAGUAUCACAAAUAUGAUUGAGCCUUAGUCUUUUGAUCAAGCUGUCAAGGACUCUAACUGGUGUGAAGCGAUAACUAAGGAAAUUAAGGCACUUGAGGAUAAUAACACAUGGACAAUCACUAGUUUACCUCCUGGAAAAAUUCCUAUUGACUGUAAAUGUAUAUUCAAAGUAAAAUUGAAAGUUGAUGGGUCCCUGGAAAGGUAUAAAGCCAGAUUAGUGGCUAAGGGCUAUACUCAAAAGGAAGGUUCUGAUUAUCUCAAAACUUUUUCUCCUGUGGCAAAGCUUACAUCUGUAAGAGUUUUAUUGGCUAUAGCUAUUGCUAUGGAUUGGAAUCUCUUACAAUUGGAUGUCAACAAUGCCUUUUUACAUGGUGAUUUGAAUGAGGAAAUAUACAUGAGAAUUCCUCCUAGUGUUGACAGCAAAGAGGGCAAUAUGGUAUGCAGGCUCAACAAGUCUUUAUACAGCUUAAAACAAGCCUCAAGGCAAUGGUUCACUAAGUUCUCAUUUUUUUUGAUACAAGAAGGUUUCGCACAGUCCAAGUUUGAUUAUACACUCUUUACCAGAAAUAGAAAUGGCUUUUUUGUUGCUCUUCUAGUAUAUGUGGAUGACAUUGUCUUGACAGGAAAUGACUUGCAAGGCAUGAAUAAUUUGAAGGCUUCCCUUGAUAUAAAAUUUAAGAUAAAGGAUCUAGGCGUAUUGAAAUAUUUCCUAAGACUGGAGGUGGCUCGGUCUAAGAAAGAAAUUUCUUUGUAUCAAAGAAAAUUUGACAUAGACAUCUUAGAAGAUGAUGGCUUUAGUAGUGUUAAACCAGCAAACACACCAAUGGAGCUGAACAUUAAACUGGACAGAGAGAGUGGAAAAUUAUUGAAGGAUGCAUCAAUCUACAGGAGGUUGGUGGGACGGUUAUUAUACUUAACCAUUACUAGGCUUGACUUGAGUUAUGUGGUUCAAGUGUUAAGUCAGUUUAUGAACCAACCAAGGGAACCUCAUUUGAAUGCAACUUAUAGGGUAUUGAGAUACAUCAAGAGGACGCCAGGACAAGGGAUUUUCUUCCCUAAAGAAAAUGAUUUACGGUUGAAGAUCUUUUCAGAUUCAGAUUGGGUCAGUUGCCCUAAUUCAAGGAGGUCUAUAACUAGAUAUUGUUCUUUUUUAGGAAAUGCUUUAAUAUCCUAAAAGCCUAAGAAGCAGUAUACAGUUUCCGGAUCUUCAGCAGAAGCUGAAUACCGUGCUAUGGCAUCUGCUACAUGCUAAGUUCAAUGGCUCCUAUACUUACUAGCUGACUUGAGGAUCAAACACGAGAAGCCAGCAUUGUUAUAUUGUGAUAAUCAAGCUGCAUUACACAUUGCUAGCAACCCUGUAUUUCAUGAGAGAACAAAACAUAUCGACCUGGAUUGUCACUUAGUAAGGGACAAGAUUAAGGCUAGAAUUUUACACACCAUGCAUGUCUCUUCAGGUAAUCAACUAGCAGAUAUUAUGACAAAAUCAGUAGGAGCAUCUCUAUUUCAUUCUCUACUGUGCAAGAUGAAUGUGUGCAAUAUAUACACUCCAUCUUGAAGGGGGCUAUUGAGACUACCAGAAGAAGCUGAUGUGGAAGUGAGCUAAAGAAUUAGUUAGACUAGUUGAAAUUUUCAGUUACUGUACAGCUGUAAACAACUGUAAUUAGUGCUGUAGUUUUCCAUUUUAUAUUUAAGGACCACGUGAUGUACAAUAAGUGUGAUUUUCAUUUUUCAAUACACAGAAACUUUCCUAUUCA
rnacentral:lncRNA from 1 species